rnacentral:siRNA from 1 species
GAUAAUGUUAUAAGGAGCAUUGUG